rnacentral:rRNA from 1 species
GUGGGCCCUCGAAAUCCUGUGGCGGGAGUAUUCAGUCGGAGCGCUCGCGUCGCCCACCGGAAUAUGCACAACUGAAGGUUCCCGAGACGGGGCCGUUCCGGUGCCGUGCGCUUCGUGGCGAUCCGACGCAUUUAUUUCCCGCCCGAAGGACGCCGCAACCGGUUGGCGGGACGGCCUUAAGGGCGAGAGCCGGCAGGUGGCCGGCGGCGGAGCGCCUCGUGUGCAUCGUCGCCGGUUGUUAGCCAUCUCGUCACACGGCACGUCUCCCGACCGUGGCAACAGAGAGGCCUCGUUGGGCUUCGACGUCUCCUCCCCUAGUGGUCAGCGGGUGAAGAAGCGCGGCAGGAGCUCGAUGCUGGUGCGGGCGCACGGACUGACUCCGUGGCCCAGCGCCGCCUUGUCUUCGUUGGCUGCGCAAGCCCCGCAGGGAGUGCAUGACGGUUCGCGGCGAGUAGAUCGGUCACCCACCUGACCCGUCUUGAAACACGGACCAAGGAGUCUAACAUGUGUGCGAGUCAAUGGGUCUCGAAUAAGCCCAGAGGCGCAAUGAAAGCGAAGGCCGGAGGACUCCGGUCGUGUCGGGAUCCCCGCUCCCUUAACAAGGGCUGGGGCGCACCGACGACCCGCCCCGUUCCACUCGUGGAUGAGGCGGAGUCCGAGCGCACACGUUGGGACCCGAAAGAUGGUGAACUAUGCCCGGGCAGAACGAAGCCAGAGGAAACUCUGGUGGAGGUUCGUCGCGAUUCUGACGUGCAAAUCGAUCGUCAGAUCCAGGUCUAGGGGCGAAAGACCAAUCGAACCAUCU